rnacentral:rRNA from 1 species
GACGAACGCUGGCGGCGUGCUUAACACAUGCAAGUCGAGCGAUGAAGCUUCCUUCGGGAAGUGGAUUAGCGGCGGACGGGUGAGUAACACGUGGGUAACCUGCCUCAAAGUGGGGGAUAGACUUCCGAAAGGAAGAUUAAUACCGCAUAACAUAAGAGAAUCGCAUGAUUUUCUUAUCAAAGGUUUAUUGCUUUGAGAUGGACCCGCGGCGCAUUAGCUAGUUGGUAAGGUAACGGCUUACCAAGGCAACGAUGCGUAGCCGACCUGAGAGGGUGAUCGGCCACAUUGGAACUGAGACACAGUCCAGACUCCUACGGGGGGCAGCAGUGAGGAAUAUUGCGCAAUUGGGGAAACCCUGACGCAGCAACGCCGCGUGGGUGAUGAAGGUCUUCGGAUUGUAAAGCCCUGUUUUCUAGGACGAUAAUGACGGUACUAGAGGAGGAAGCCACGGCUAACUACGUGCCAGCCGCCGCCGUAAGAC